rnacentral:rRNA from 1 species
GACAGAGGCCUCGAGCGUUAGGCGGAAUCACUGGGCUUAAAGCGUGUGUAGGCGGAUCGUUAAGUGCCUUGUGAAAUCCCACGGCUUAACUGUGGAACGGCUGGGCAUACUGGCGGUCUUGAGCCAUCUAGGGGCGACUGGAACAAACGGUGGAGCGGUGAAAUGCGUAGAUAUCGUUUGGAACGCCAAUGGUGAAAACAGGUCGCUGGGGAUGAGCUGACGCUGAGACACGAAAGCCAGGGAGCAAACGGG